AUUCAGGUUUAAACAGGAAAGUGAAGAAACAUGGUGCCUGUAUUCUGAUUAUUCUCUUGGAGCUAUCUGUCCAGCGUCCUCAUCUGUCGUGCACACUUUGAGUGCCAUGAUUCUGCUAGAU